rnacentral:rRNA from 1 species
GCAAAGUGCCACACCACCCUGAAGGUGUCUGAUCUUGGAAGUGAUCCAGGGCUGGGCCUGGUUAGUACCUGGAUGGGAGAUGCCUGGGAAUACCAGGUGUUAUAGGCU